rnacentral:rRNA from 1 species
UACGUAGGGUGCAGGCGUUAAUCGGAAUUAUUGGGCGUAAAGCGCGCGUAGGCGGUCUAGAUAGUCAGAUGUGAAAGCCCUGGGCUCAACCCGGGAAUUGCGUUUGAUACUGUUAGACUAGAGACUCAGAGAGGUGAGUGGAAUUCCUAGUGUAGAGGUGAAAUUCGUAGAUAUUAGGAGGAACACCAGUGGCGAAAGCGGCUCACUGGCUGAGCACUGACGCUAAGGCGCGAAAGCGUGGGGAGCAAACAGG